GAUCCUGGCUCAGAUUGAACGCUGGCGGCAGGCCUAACACAUGCAAGUCGAACGGUAACAGGAAGCAGCUUGCUGCUUUGCUGACGGGUGGCGGACGGGUGAGUAAUGUCUGGGAAACUGCCUGAUGGAGGGGGAUAACUACUGGAAACGGUAGCUAAUACCGCAUAACGUCGCAAGACCAAAGAGGGGGGACCUUCGGGCCUCUUGCCAUCGGAUGUGCCCAGAUGGGAUUAGCUAGUAGGUGGGG
rnacentral:rRNA from 1 species